rnacentral:rRNA from 1 species
AUUGAACGCUGGCGGAAUGCUUUACACAUGCAAGUCGAGCGGCAGCGCGGGGCAACCUGGCGGCGAGCGGCGAACGGGUGAGUAAUGCAUCGGAACAUGUCCAUGUCGUGGGGGAUAGCCCGGCGAAAGCCGGAUUAAUACCGCAUACGCCCGAGAGGGGAAAGUGGGGGACCGCAAGGCCUCACGCGAUUGGGUUGGCCGAUGUCCGAUUAGCUUGUUGGUGAGGUAAAGGCUUACCAAGGCGAUGAUCGGUAGCUGGUCUGAGAGGAUGAUCAGCCACACUGGGACUGAGACACGGCCCAGACUCCUACGGGAGGCAGCAGUGGGGAAUUUUGGACAAUGGGGGCAACCCUGAUCCAGCCAUUCCGCGUGAGUGAAGAAGGCCUUCGGGUUGUAAAGCUCUUUUGUCCGGAGCGAAACGGUGGCGGUGAAUAUCCGCCACUACUGACGGUACCGGAAGAAUAAGCACCGGCUAACUACGUGCCAGCAGCCGCCGUAAAAC